GGUCCGAUGGUGUAGUUGGUUAUCACUUCUGUCUAACACCUCGCACGUGCCACACAGGCGGUCCUCAGUUCGAACCUGGGUCGGAUCA